rnacentral:rRNA from 1 species
UACGUAGGGUGCAAGCGUUAAUCGGAAUUACUGGGCGUAAAGCGUGCGCAGGCGGCUAUGCAAGACAGAUGUGAAAUCCCCGGGCUCAACCUGGGAACUGCAUUUGUGACUGCAUGGCUGGAGUACGGCAGAGGGGGAUGGAAUUCCGCGUGUAGCAGUGAAAUGCGUAGAUAUGCGGAGGAACACCGAUGGCGAAGGCAAUCCCCUGGGCCUGUACUGUCGCUCAUGCACGAAAGCGUGGGGAGCAAACAGG